rnacentral:lncRNA from 1 species
GUUGAGACCACGCAGAAGGUUCAGCACGAGCUGGGAGUCGAGGAUGGUGUGGCCGACGUCACGGAGGGAAUCAGCGGUCUGCUUCAUGCGUUGACAGAACUGGUCGAUGGAGAGGUCGCCCUGUGUCAUUGAAUGGAACUGUUCCGCAAGGAAGACAGCACGUGGCGCCUUGUUGGCCUGGAACAGAUCCGCGAUCGCGACCCAUAGGUCACGAGCCGUCUGCUCGGGAGCCAUGGCGAGGUCGAGGACGUCGUCAGCGACAGAUCCGUAGAUCCAUCCACGAACAGCGCAGUCUGCAGCAACCCACGAUGCAUCGGUGGGAGCAGGUGCCAGAGAGCCGUCAACGUGGCCGCCGAGGUAGAACUUGCCGC